GGACUAUAUAAUAUUGGAAUUCAUCAGCAUUUUGUCAAUCUUGAUGUUCCACACAAAUUGACUUGCCGACUUCUAUGAGUAAUCAUGAUGAAGAUGCAUGUAUUGUUUAUGGCGAUGGUGCUUUACAUGCUCUUGACAGCAAGUGACACGACCAGCAUUCACGAUACAGACGGCACCCACGACACCAUUGGAGGGGUUGAUGUCAUCAUAAUAGACGGGGUUCCUCAGCCCACUAACAAAAAAUGAAAAACAUUCGCCAUUUCUUCACAAGGAGAAUAUGUGCAUUCUUGAUAUUGAAUAAUAUUUAAAUGAAGCUGUGAUCUUCACUUAAAUUCUAUUCAAUAUCGAUAUUGCACAUACAGAAUGGUCCAAAAAUGUAUACACUCUUUGACAGUGAAUAAUUUAGUAAAUAACAGGCAGUCCGUUUCAGACGGCCUCUGGAUAACUUUCAUUUAUUGGAUAGAGCAAACAAUAUAAAAGUAAGAAAAAAACAGGCUAUUGCCCAAAACUUUGUCUAUUUCUAAAUUUUGUAUCAAAUCGUCCAAAUAUCAAGUAGGUUGAGUCUAUUUUGAAAGACAUAUCUCCCAAUUUUGAACAAUCUGUCCAAUUCAGACCGAUGUAGCAUCGUUGACGCUACAUAAUACCCAACGCCACUGAUACGGAGUCCAACAUCGUUCCGUAUCUCGGGCAGUGAAUGCACUUUGAGCUAAACAACGUAACUCGACCACAGUUCAAACUGUGAUCAGAUAAAAAAAAGAGAAAAUAUUUUUCGGCAUGAACUGUUCAUAGCUUGUGUAUUAGUAUGCUACAUCGCUCGAAGGAGUCGCUCAAGCUAAGCUACUGCUUAGUAGUUAUAAACUAUAAAGUAGUAGAAGUAUAAGCUAUACAUUAGUAGUUAUAAGUUAUAAACCAUAAGCUACUGCUUCCUUGCAUGCUACUCAUGCCACACCACCUUUUGACAACACAUCGAAAUGCAAUAACAAUAUUUAUGUCUGUGUGUUAUUUUGUCCUGUUUACGGUAACUAUCAAUAUCAGUGUAUACAUUUUUCUGUCCUCUCUGUAUUAUUAUCUACUUUAGUAGUAUCUAUUAGUAUCUAUUUUGAAGAGACAAUAAAGCAAUUUCAAUUUCAA